GUUCCAAUAGCCCAGUAUGUGAAUCGUCACUUGUGUCGAAUUGUGGAAUGUUGGUUGAUUCGUUCAACUUGUAGGCCAAGUCCCCUGGAAUGGGGCAGCAGAGAGGGUGAUACUCCCGUGUGUCUUCAAGUGUGAGUUUCAACUUUGGAGUCGAGUUGUUUGGGAUUGCAGCUCCAAGCAGGUGGUAAAUUCCAUCUAAGGCUAAAUACUGGUGAGAGACCGAUAGCAUACAAGUACCGUGAGGGAAAGAUGCAAAGCCGCGCGAGAGCGCUGUCAAAGAGUACCUGAAGUUGCUGAAAAGGAAGCGAAGGAAACCAGUGUGAACCAACCCGCACUUCCCCAAUUGCUUGCAUUUGGGGCGC
rnacentral:rRNA from 1 species